UACAUGCAAGUCGAGCGAACAGACGAGGAGCUUGCUCCUCUGACGUUAGCGGCGGACGGGUGAGUAACACGUGGAUAACCUACCUAUAAGACUGGGAUAACUUCGGGAAACCGGAGCUAAUACCGGAUAAUAUAUUGAACCGCAUGGUUCAAUAGUGAAAGACGGUUUUGCUGUCACUUAUAGAUGGAUCCGCGCCGCAUUAGCUAGUUGGUAAGGUAACGGCUUACCAAGGCAACGAUGCGUAGCCGACCUGAGAGGGUGAUCGGCCACACUGGAACUGAGACACGGUCCAGACUCCUACGGGAGGCAGCAGUAGGGAAUCUUCCGCAAUGGGCGAAAGCCUGACGGAGCAACGCCGCGUGAGUGAUGAAGGUCUUCGGAUCGUAAAACUCUGUUAUUAGGGAAGAACAAAUGUGUAAGUAACUAUGCACGUCUUGACGGUACCUAAUCAGAAAGCCACGGCUAACUACGUGCCAGCAGCCGCGGUAAUACGUAGGUGGCAAGCGUUAUCCGGAAUUAUUGGGCGUAAAGCGCGCGUAGGCGGUUUUUUAAGUCUGAUGUGAAAGCCCACGGCUCAACCGUGGAGGGUCAUUGGAAACUGGAAAACUUGAGUGCAGAAGAGGAAAGUGGAAUUCCAUGUGUAGCGGUGAAAUGCGCAGAGAUAUGGAGGAACACCAGUGGCGAAGGCGACUUUCUGGUCUGUAACUGACGCUGAUGUGCGAAAGCGUGGGGAUCAAACAGGAUUAGAUACCCUGGUAGU
rnacentral:rRNA from 1 species